rnacentral:rRNA from 1 species
GCAAGUCUGGUGCCAGCAGCCGCGGUAAUUCCAGCUCCAAUAGCGUAUAUUAAAGUUGUUGCAGUUAAAAAGCUCGUAGUUGAAUUUCGGGAUCAAUAUUUCGGUCAUGCCGUUGGUAUGCACUGUUAUCAUUGAUUUCUCACCUUCUAAAGAACCAUAAUGCCAUUAAUUUGGUGUUACGGGGAAUUAGGACUGUUACCUUGAAAAAAUUAGAGUGUUUAAAGCAGGCUCACGCUUGAAUACAUUAGCAUGGAAUAAUGAAAUAGGACAUCCGAUUCUAUUUUGUUGGUUUCUAGGAUCGAUGUAAUGAUUAAUAGGGAUAGUUGGGGGCAUUAGUAUUCAAUUGUCAGAGGUGAAAUUCUUGGAUUUAUUGAAGACUAACUACUGCGAAAGCAUUUGCCAAGGAUGUUUUCAUUAAUCAAGAACGAAAGUUAGGGGAUCGAAGACGAUCAGAUACCGUCGUAGUCUUAACCAUAAACUAUGCCGACUAGGGAUCGGAUGAUGUUAAUUUUUUAAUGACUCAUUCGGCGCCUUACGGAAAC